rnacentral:rRNA from 1 species
UACGAAGGUGGCAAGCGUUGUUCGGAUUUACUGGGCGUACAGGGAGCGUAGGCGGUUGGGUAAGCCCUUCGUGAAAUCUCCGGGCCUAACCCGGAAAGUGCGGAGGGGACUGCUCGGCUAGAGGAUGAGAGAGGAGCGCGGAAUUCCCGGUGUGAGCGGUGAAAUGCGUAGAGAUCGGGAGGAAGGCCGGUGGCGAAGGCGGCGCUCUGGAACAUUUCUGACGCUGAGGCUCGAAAGCGUGGGGAGCAAACAGG